UACGAAGGGGGCGAGCGUUGUUCGGAUUUACUGGGCGUAAAGGGCGCGUAGGCGGCCUCCGCAAGUCAGUUGUGAAAUCUCCGAGCUUAACUCGGAAAGGUCAACUGAUACUGCGGGGCUAGAAUGCGGAAGGGGCAACUGGAAUUCUUGGUGUAGCGGUGAAAUGCGUAGAUAUCAAGAGGAACACCUGCGGCGAAGGCGGGUUGCUGGGCCGACACUGACGCUGAGGCGCGAAAGCUAGGGGAGCGAACGGG
rnacentral:rRNA from 1 species